AACGAACGCUGGCGGCAUGCCUAACACAUGCAAGUCGAACGAGACCUUCGGGUCUAGUGGCGCACGGGUGCGUAACGCGUGGGAACCUGCCCUUAGGUUCGGAAUAACUCCCCGAAAGGGGUGCUAAUACCGGAUAAUGUCAUCGGACCAAAGAUCUAUCGCCUUUGGAUGGGCCCGCGUUGGAUUAGCUAGUUGGUAGCGUAAAAGCCUACCAAGGCGACGAUCCAUAGCUGGUCUGUGAGGAUGAUCAGCCACACUGGGACUGAGACACGGCCCAGACUCCUGCGGGAGGCAGCAGUGGGGACUAUUGGACGAUGGGCGAAAGCCUGAUCCAGCAAUGCCGCGUGAGUGAUGAAGGCCUUAGGGUUGUAAAGCUCUUUUACCCGGGAUGAUAAUGACAGUACCGGGAGAAUAAGCUCCGGCUAACUCCGUG
rnacentral:rRNA from 1 species